GACGAACCGUGCGAACGUUAUUCGGAAUCACUGGGCUUAAAGCGCGUGUAGGCGGGGCGGCACGUCGGUCGCUGAAAGCCCCCGGCUCAACCGGGGAACGGGCCCCGAUACGACCGCCCUCGAGGGACGUAGGGGGACCUGGAACUUCCGGUGGAGCGGUGAAAUGCGUUGAGAUCGGAAGGAACGCCCGCGGCGAAAGCGAGGUCCUGGACGUCUGCUGACGCUGAGACGCGAAAGCCAGGGGAGCGAACGGG
rnacentral:rRNA from 1 species